UACGAAGGGGGCUAGCGUUGUUCGGAUUUACUGGGCGUAAAGCGCACGUAGGCGGAUCUUUAAGUCAGAGGUGAAAUCCCAAGGCUCAACCUUGGAACUGCCUUUGAUACUGGGGAUCUUGAGUCCGGGAGAGGUGAGUGGAACUGCGAGUGUAGAGGUGAAAUUCGUAGAUAUUCGCAAGAACACCAGUGGCGAAGGCGGCUCACUGGCCCGGUACUGACGCUGAGGUGCGAUAGCGUGGGGAUCAAACAGG
rnacentral:rRNA from 1 species